rnacentral:rRNA from 1 species
AACGAACGCUGGCGGCAGGCCUAACACAUGCAAGUCGAGCGAGGACUUCGGUCCUAGCGGCGGACGGGUGAGUAACGCGUGGGAACGUGCCCUUUGGUACGGAAUAGCCCCGGGAAACUAGGGAGGUAAUACCGUAUGGUGUCUUCGGACUAAAGAUUAUCGCCAAAGGAUCGGCCGCGUUGGAUUAGGUAGUUGGUGGGGUAAGUGGCCUACCAAGCCGACGAUCCAUAGCUGGUUUGAGAGGAUGAUCAGCCACACUGGGACUGAGACACGGCCCAGACUCCUACGGGAGGCAGCAGUGGGGAAUCUUAGACAAUGGGGGCAACCCUGAUCUAGCCAUGCCGCGUGAGUGAUGAAGGCCCUAGGGUUGUAAAGCUCUUUCAGCUGGGAAGAUAAUGACGGUACCAGCAGAAGAAGCCCCGGCUAACUCCGUG